CACCUUGACAGGUUGAGUGACUUUCUGUUGAUCUGUAAAGGAAGAAAAACAUCAUUGCAUUGGUCACAGCUGCUGAUGGUUUUAAGGUCGACUUGGACAGAAACACCAACACCACCUUGCAGACCAGCAGGUGUCACCACUUCAUCGAUGACGUCGUCCACGAUCGCAGAGAAUCUUCGCACAAUGAAGUUCUUUGAGACCAGGACAGAGGCCUCCAGGAGACGACAGCAGCUGAAGUUCUGGACCUGAAGUGGAUCAAAGAAAACAACACGGUUCAUGAGACUGGUUAUGAUUUACAGAUAAACCUUAAACACCAGAGACCGGUGUUGUCCCGCCUCCUCUACACCGCCUCCUCCCCCUCAACCACCAGGAGGCGCUUUGUUUUCUGUUCUGUCUCUGCAGGAAGAGGAGUCCACAUCACCUGAAGAGGACAGCACAAGUAAUUAAAGAGAUGAUACGAGAUGUGCACGUCUUUCAUAAGCUUAUCCUCAUGUGUGCUCAUCACUUUAUUAAAUGUGAGGUGAGAGAAUAAAACAAAGCGUCUCCAAAUGGUUGUUGUUGUUAUCUUUGCUGUGAUUUGUUAAAUGUCUACAUCUAAAUCAAUAAAGUUUUGUAACUUAA